rnacentral:rRNA from 1 species
GACGAACGCUGGCGGCGUGGAUUAGGCAUGCAAGUCGGACGGUAGAGCUUUAUCGUAAGAUAGAGUUUGAGAGUGGCGAACGGGUGAGUAACACGUAGGAAUCUACCCUUAAGACGGGGACAACCCAGGGAAACUUGGGCUAAUACCGGAUGAGAGUGCGAGAGAUUGCAUUUAAAAGGAUGGCGAAAGUUGUCGCUUAGGGAUGAGCCUGCGGUCUAUUAGUUAGUUGGUGAGGUAAGAGCUCACCAAGGCGAUGAUAGAUAGGCGGCCUUAACGGGUGGUCGCCCACACUGGGAUUGAGAUACGGCCCAGACUCCUACGGGAGGCAGCAGUCGAGAAUAGUCUACAAUGGCCGGAAGGCUGAUAGUGCGACGCCGCGUGAACGAGGGAGCCCUUCGGGUGUAAGUUCUUUUCUUAUACGAGCAGUGCUAUAUAUAUGAUAGUAUAUAUAGAGGGAUAGUAGUAUAGGAAUAAGCAACGGACUAACUACCGUCGCCAGCA